UGCCAAAGAUACAUUGAUAGAGUAAGAUGCGUAAAAUCUAAGACAAUUUCGUGCUUCGAAUUCGACAGGUAAACGAGAUGGCGCUGUACAGCUCCAUACAUUUUGCGGUAACUCUGAUUGUCAAAAGUUGACGUUUGACAAUUAAGUGACC